AGCGAACGCUGGCGGCAGGCCUAACACAUGCAAGUCGAACGAACUCUUCGGAGUUAGUGGCGGACGGGUGAGUAACACGUGGGAACGUGCCUUUAGGUUCGGAAUAACUCAGGGAAACUUGUGCUAAUACCGAAUGUGCCCUUCGGGGGAAAGAUUUAUCGCCUUUAGAGCGGCCCGCGUCUGAUUAGCUAGUUGGUGAGGUAAAGGCUCACCAAGGCGACGAUCAGUAGCUGGUCUGAGAGGAUGAUCAGCCACAUUGGGACUGAGACACGGCCCAAACUCCUACGGGAGGCAGCAGUGGGGGAUCUUGCGCAAUGGGCGAAAGCCUGACGCAGCCAUGCCGCGUGAAUGAUGAAGGUCUUAGGAUUGUAAAAUUCGUUCACCGGGGACGAUAAUGACGGUACCCGGAGAAGAAGCCCCGGCUAACUUCGUGCCAGCCGCCGCAGUAA
rnacentral:rRNA from 1 species